CAGCCCUCCGUCAAAGUUGUAGAGUGAAAGUCUUUCCAAUUUUAGAGUAUUUCUUUUUAUUGCUUACAUAUUUAAAGACGAGAUUAGCAAAGAUGUAUUAUGCUGAUAAUUUUAGGGUCUGAAGAAUAUAUUCAGAAUUUAAUAAGACCCAUUGAAAUGGGGAUUGGACUUACACCUGAAAGAAUGAGUGACUGCAUCUGAAUCACCUAUCAUGGGCUUGAGUGAUGCCAGUACUUAGAAGAAAGCAGACCCAAGAGAAAGGCUACCAUAUCACUUGCACCUCUGAAUCCAACCAGCCCUGAAAGUUUCUCUUUUCCUGAACUUGCAAGAUAAAAGAGCUAAUAAACUAAUUUUUGCUAGCUUGAGUUGGAUUUCU
rnacentral:lncRNA from 1 species